GAUGAACGCCAGCGACAGGCUUAACACAUGCAAGUCGAGGGGCAGCACAGGUAGCAAUACCGGGUGGCGACCGGCGCACGGGUGAGUAACGCGUAUGCAACUUGCCUAUCAGAGGGGGAUAACCCGGCGAAAGUCGGACUAAUACCGCAUGAAGCAGGGGCCCCGCAGGGGGAUAGUUGCUAAAGAUUCAUCGCUGAUAGAUAGGCAUGCGUUCCAUUAGGCAGGUGGCGGGGUAACGGCGCACCAAACCGACGAUGGAUAGGGGUUCUGAGAGGAAGGUCCCCCACAUUGGAACUGAGACACGGACCAAACACCUACGUGGGGCAGCAGUGAGGAAUAGUGGUCAAUGGGCGAGAGCCUGAACCAGCCAAGUCGCGUGAGGGACGAAGGCCCUAUGGGUCGUAAACCUCUUUUAUAAGGGAAUAAAGGGCGGGACGUGUCCCGUUUUGCAUGUACCUUAUGAAGAAGGAUCGGCUAACUCCGUGCCAGCCGCCGCCGUAAGAC
rnacentral:rRNA from 1 species